rnacentral:rRNA from 1 species
CCUACGGGGGGCAGCAGUGAGGAAUAUUGGUCAAUGGACGAGAGUCUGAACCAGCCAAGUAGCGUGAAGGAUGACUGCCCUAUGGGUUGUAAACUUCUUUUAUAUGGGAAUAAAAUGUUCCACGUGUGGGAUUUUGUAUGUACCAUAUGAAUAAGGAUCGGCUAACUCCGUGCCAGCAGCCGCGGUAAUACGGAGGAUCCGAGCGUUAUCCGGAUUUAUUGGGUUUAAAGGGGGCGUAGGUGGAUUGUUAAGUCAGUUGUGAAAGUUUGCGGCUCAACCGUAAAAUUGCAGUUGAAACUGGCAGUCUUGAGUACAGUAGAGGUGUGCGGAAUUCGUGGUGUAGCGGUGAAAUGCUUAGAUAUCACGAAGAACUCCGAUUGCGAAGGCAGUUCACUGGACUGCAACUGACACUGAGGCUCGAAAGUGUGGGUAUCAAACAGGAUUAGAUACCCGGGUAGUC